rnacentral:tRNA from 1 species
GCAGUGGUAGUUCAGAGGUAGAAUUCUCACCUUCAGAAGGCAUGAGUUCGAUUCCCAGCCAGUGCA